GCAAAGUCUCCUGGGAGGGUUUAUAUGUUAAGCUCUGUCAGUAAUUUCUCCCCUAGCAAGAAUGAGGAAGAUGAAGAGCUCGGGUAUCUGAGGGCUGGUGUGUCUGCAUGCGUGUGUGUUUUGGGGGCCGACUGAAGGAAGAGAAGGCUGGAGAGAGGGAACAUGGGUCUGAGGGCACAUCGCUAAGGGGUCAAGAGGCCUAAAGGAGGAGUCUAAGGCUCUCCAUCGAACUUGGACUUGGUCUACAUUAGACUUUAACCUCCAUGAGGCUUGGACUUUCAGGCUUCCUCCCUCACACCGCGGGCAGGUGAGGCGUCUGCUACAGGCCUGGUCUCGCAGAGGGGGCCCAGCGCCCCCCGCCGCCGCCUUCUCCUGGAGUCUGUGUGACAGAAUGGGACCUGUGGGAAAGCAGCACGUCAGCACCCAGCCCCGCUUGCGCGCCAGCAGCUAAUUAAAGCCAGGAAGGUGAUGGCGAUUUUCAACUCAUUCCCGUUACAAACAGCCGACCUUCCUACCGAGUUCAAGUACCUUCUGCCUGGCCUGGAAGAACAAUAUCUCUCUGUCUCCCUCUUCCACUGGCCCUCACCUGCCUUCCCCUGAACAUGCAUUUUGCCUGACAGGAGACAGAGGCAGUUGAGAUGGAGUCUUGCUAUAUGGCCCAGCUGGUAAUGCCUAGAUUCUUGAGUCCCUCCCUGGCUCAUCCCUGGGAGCAGCACUGAACCCCUUGUCUGACACCUGUCUGGAAAUGGAGCCUGCACAUUGACCCUAGAUGCUUGCAGCUUGGUCCAGGAGGCCAGCAGGACCAGAGAGAAGACCACAGCGACACAUGGGGAUGGCUGUCCCACAGGCAGAAAUGAGCAGCCGGGAGGAAGCCCAGGCAGCCAGCCACCCAGCUCCCUCCACAUCGUGGCCCUAGAACGGAGUCUUGAAGAAUAAGAAGCCACAGCUUGUCAGGGAAUCAGGCUGGAAAAAUGUUAUGAGACUGAGUAAGACCAGAGUUUCUGGGUCAUUGGUGAGACUGGAUU
rnacentral:lncRNA from 1 species